rnacentral:rRNA from 1 species
UACGUAGGCAGCGAGCGUUGUUCGGAGUUACUGGGCGUAAAGAGCGUGUAGGCGGUUCAGUAAGUCUGCUGUGAAAGUCCAGGGCUCAACCCUGGAAAGCGGGUGGAUACUGCCGGGCUAGAAUCCGGAAGAGGCGAGUGGAAUUCCUGGUGUAGCGGUGGAAUGCGCAGAUAUCGAGAGGAACACCUGCGGCGAAGGCGGCCUUCUGGUCCAGUACUGACACUCAAGUGCGAAAGCGUGGGGAGCAAACAGG